CACGUAGGGCGCAAGCGUUGUCCGGAAUUACUGGGCGUAAAGAGCUCGUAGGUGGUUUGUCGCGUUGUCCGUGAAAACUCACAACUCAAUUGUGGGCGUGCGGGCGAUACGGGCAGACUGGAGUACUGCAGGGGAGACUGGAAUUCCUGGUGUAGCGGUGGAAUGCGCAGAUAUCAGGAGGAACACCUGCGGCGAAGGCGGGUUGCUGGGCCGACACUGACGCUGAUGCGCGAAAGCCAGGGGAGCGAACGGG
rnacentral:rRNA from 1 species